rnacentral:rRNA from 1 species
GACAGAGGUGCCAAGCGUUAGGCGGAAUCACUGGGCUUAAAGCGUGUGUAGGUGGAUUUGUAAGUACCUUGUGAAAUCCCAUGGCUCAACCAUGGAACUGCUCGGUAUACUGCGAAUCUUGAGCCACUUAGGGGCUACCGGAACAAAUGGUGGAGCGGUGAAAUGCGUAGAUAUCAUUUGGAACGCCAAUGGUGAAAACAGGUAGCUGGGGGUGUGCUGACACUGAGACACGAAAGCCAGGGGAGCGAACGGG